ensembl:lncRNA
CAGAAGCGGAUCUUCCAUUAGGCAAACCUAGCAGCCGCGGCUGCUGAACUUGCGACAGGCUCUGCUGUUGGGGGAAAUGAUGAAGUGGAGGUGGAGGAGGAAGGAGGAGAGGUGGGUGCCGAAGGAGAAGAGGUGGCUAUGGAAGCCGAAGGAGAGGAAGAUGAAGACGAAGAUGAUUUGGCGUACAACAAGAUGGGAGGCUAGGGUGGAGUCCGUGAAAGCCGUCCGAUACCAGUUGCCUGAAAUUUUGGAUGCCCUGACCGCUCUGAGGGAGUAUGCUGAGGAGAAGCAAGACUCUGAAUGCGCCUCCAAUGCCAACGGCAUUCACAAAGAGAUGAAGAAAUGGCCUUUUCUGUGAGAAAACAACAGGGGAAAAGACAGAUGAACAACAUCACCUUCUAUCAGUGAGCCCUGGCUGAACAAGGUUGGGUUCUAUACUGCUGCUCACCACUAUUCUCUGAUAUGAAGACGACAACAGUCAUGGCCGAUCACAGCUGCUCACCAUCAUUGACACCAGCAUCCCCACACACAUGAUCUUCAUCCAGGCAGCUCUCUCUCUCUCUCUCUCUCUCUCUCUCUCUCUCUCUCUCUCUCUCUCUCUCUCUCUCUCUCUCUCUCUCUCUCUCUCUCUCUCUCUCUCUCUCUCUCUCUCUCUCUCUCUCUCUCUCUCUCUCUCUCUCUCUCUCCUGUCACUCACUCACACUGAACCACUGCUUUGCCUGUCUCUCACUCACACACACAGCCACUGUUAUUCCUGUCCACACACAAAAUCUUUUCAUUGGUCCUGUUUAAAUGUAAAUUGUGGUUUUCAUAGACUCAUAUCCAUUUUGUAUUUUAGUUCUGUUAAGUGCAAGAUCAUUUUGUAUCUCUGGCAGAGAAUGGAAAUUUUAAUCUCUCUCUCUCUCUCUCUCUCUCUCUCUCUCUCUCUCUCUCUCUC